GGGUAAGCAAGCAAAAUAUACCCAAACAAAAAUGCCCAAAACAAAGACAUUAUUGGUUGGGCGGGAGUUUGUGCUCUCUCGCUCGCACUCACUAUUUUAACUCUCAGUCAGUUUGUUCUUCUUCUGCAACAUCCAAACCUUCUGCUUGGUUCUCAAGAAUCUGAGUGAAAACGAAAGAAAGUGGAACAAAAUGAUAGAUCAUACCAACUUCACGUUGAGAGACCUAACGAAAAAAGUACGGAAUUCUCAAUUAGAGUCUAAUGUUGAUGCAAGGAAGGAAAUAUAUGAACUCUCCAUCUGUUUCACAGUGAAGGAAAAGGGGAAAGCAAGAGUUAUGAUUGUACAAAGUGAGCAAAAGCUGCAAUAUAAUGGGGCUGCUGCAUUCAAUAAUGUAUACCAUGCAAUAGGAUUCUUAUGAAGAUGAGCAGAAUUGAUGCUGCAAAGAGAAUAUCUAUGGAAAGAUAUACAUUGACUUCCAACUGAUUUGUGGGCAAGAUUUUCCUUUAUGAGAACAAGAGAACCUAUUCUUAUCAUAAUUUCCAUCAAAUAAUUUGUAAUAAUGACCAUUCAGAAAUCAGAAUUAGAAUCAGCUUUUCUAAUGACAUGACUGCCUGAAAUAUUAUUGUCUCUGUGUGAUUCUAGAUGCAGCAUUUUUUGAAGAAUAUUGUCAGUGUAUGUUUAUUGCCGUUUUGCUUUGUGUUGGAAGACACAAGAUACUUGUAUCGAUAUGAUAAUUUAAUUAAUUAUAUGCCGUACCUAGAAAGAAUUGCUAUUGAGAUUAUGAAAACUACUGAAUGAAUCAGCUUUAAACUGCUUGCCUGAGAUAUUAUGGCUUUAAAUGAUACUGCAACUCAAUUCUGUUUCACUAAGCCUUAAUCUCAAACUUUCUGUGCUGAGGUGCUACUCUCUUCUGGUGUAAUAUCCUGCACUGUAUUGUUGAAUGAAAUUAACCACUGA
rnacentral:misc_RNA from 1 species